AGAGUUUUGUGCUCAGUUACUGGCUAAUGAACAGGCUGCAGCAGCUGAAAACAACAAGGCUGCAAAUGCCAAUGGAGCCAUUGUGGUCGGUGGAGCUCUGCCGGAAAAGAGAGCUGCCGUGCUCAGAAAAAAGCACCAACUCUUACUUUGCCUCUCACUGCUAGAAGCAAGGUCAAUACAAUUAACCUUCCAAGCCUUCUGUAAUAUCCAGGUGUAGUUUUCCCUUCUUAUUUGAUCUUUCAUUUGCAGGCUGCAUCCAGAGGUGCAAAUAGUCGUCAUUGAUGCUGCUGACGUGAAUUGUUGAAUAUGUUGAUGAGAUCUACAAGUCAGUUGAGUUGUCAACUUGGGAAAGCA